CUGGUGGGAUGGGUAACACAAGAGAGCCAGGGAAGCUGAGUGGGAAGUAAAGGGCAUGAUCUUGGGAGACUACUGAAUUUGUUCCUUCCCUGUGAAGCUGGCAGCCAUGGGAACUAAGCACCAUAGACCCUGACUACAGCUACAAAGUGGAAACAAUCUCCCUGCUGUUCAUCAACAACAUAAAUUAUGGCGUGUAUAAACAAUGAGAUGUUCUUCCACCAUGAAAGGAAAUCCUGUUGUAUGCUGUAAUAUGGGUAAAACUUGAAGACAUUGUGUUAACUAUAGUAAGCUCUCACACAAGGACAAAUACUGCCUUAUUAUAUUUAAGAUAAUUACAGGUCUGGUCGUCACUUAGGCCAACCUUUGUUCCGUAGUGGGAUCUUGGGGAAAAGCUGCCUGCUGAGAAGGGAGGUCUAAAGGAGACCAGAGGUAGAACCCUAGAUGGUCUCCUCCACCCAAUGGAGAUUGGAUCUCAAGACUCUUCCCUGUCCAUGGCCCUCUCUCUGCACGCGCCCGCCCACAGACUUUAGCUGCCCUAAAUUCACCUUUCUUGGAGCAGCAAGGAAGCUUGGAUGGAUGUUCAGUUCCGACUUUGAAACACGUUGGGAGGCAACAUUAUUUCUUUUCUUUGCUGCUGAUUUAGAAGCAUAAACUUGGUUACAUUUUCCGCUCCAAACGACUGGCUGUUUUAGGAACUAGAGCUGGCUGGGAGGUUGAGGAGUGUGGAAACUCUGAUGGAGAAGGUGAGGACCUGGCCAAUGGAAAGCAUUUUGGUGGGUCUAAUGAUUUUGGGAAAAUCUCUGCAAGGCUGGAACAUUUUGCCACACGUAAGUGGUUACUUCCUCACCUCUUGUGCAUUCACUGAGGGCUCUGUGAGACUGAAAGGGCUGGAAAACUCUUCCAGCGUGGGUUUGUCAAGAGGGAUAUUCAAGUUAGGGUUUCCAAAUGUGUUGCAUGUAACAAAAGCCUGUAUUUCUUUUCAUUCAAAGGAGAGCUGCCUCAUUCUGGUUCAUUUAAUUCUUGGAAACAUAGUUUUAUAUGUCCAGAAAGCCCUUUGAGGGAGUAUUGCAAAGGCUUUCACCCCCUCCUCGCUCCCCUCUCUGGAAGCAGGAAAUAAGUUCUGCCAAAUGCAAAUGAGCUCAGCCUCUAACAGGCAAAGUGUCAAAGCACAGAAUGCCACAGCAUUUUGAGAUCGCAUGCCUUAUACAACUGACGUUUGGGGGUCUGAAAAACUACAGGAAGUCACACCGACCUAUUUAAAAUGCCAUUUCAGACACACAAAUGUGUGUAGAACUUCCUGAGAUGUCUGUUAGGAAGUCAGAAGGCCUCUCCUUCCUUUCUAUGUUGGUUUCAGAACCCCAGGGAGCUUUAUCGGUGUCUUCGGUAGGAAGUUCGCUGCGUGGUUUUGGAACAGGGAGUCUCCCCUUUUGAGUCACAUAUCCUAAUGGGUCUGACAUAAUGCUGACCCCCUGAAAGAUGGCAUGGGCCACUGCAGGCCUUCCAAGGGUUAACAGAGCCAGUUCCAAAGGAGUGAGGCAACCACAGAAACAGGAUAAUAAAUGUGACACUCUCAGACUAUCACUAGCAAAUAUUUGAGCUUAUCAAAUAACGGAGGAAGUAGUUUAGUUACAAAUAAACCAAUCUCUCAUAAAACUAGUUUUCACACAGGGUCAUUUCAUUGAGCUGGAGACAGCUAGAGGCCACUCUAGGCAGAACUCCCACUCUGUGUACACUUCGUAACAGCUUCUCAUGAUUAAUGGACAGCAAGGGGGGAGGCUGGGCCCUGCAACUCUCUGGAGCUGGGCUUCCUAUCAGCCCAACAGCCAUAAACAGCAAGUCAGGAUUACAGCAUGGGAAGUGCCCGUCCUCCUCCGCUGGGAACACGGCCGGGUUUGCACUGACUUCCCCGCCACCCGCCUUCUUCCUAGCUGUUCACAGCUCUCUCUCUCUCUCUCUCUUUUUUUUCUCCCUGUAUAGCAGAGACCAUCGUGUCCUAGAAACUAUAGUAGAUGUCACUGCUUGGCACUUUCUGUGCAAAGAGAGGACAAGUAUGUGGGCGCAGGGGGGUGGCGGAAAGCUACUCUUAAAGCCACAGAGACUGCAUUGGCUAGGAGCUGGAGCCAGGCUGUUUUUCUGGAGCCCUUGAAAUCAGCAUGGCAAAAGCAUCUGAUUUGGAUUCCAGAAAAAACACAGGCA